UCUAAAUCACAUUUUAGUAGUUUUGUCCAAACCAUGAUAUGGAGUUGCUCAAAUAGAAAAACCAAACAUAUGAUUAGCCAGUGGGUUUGAUCUAUAGUAAACGUUUCAAAACUUAAGUUUAUCCCUUCUCUUUUAGUUAUUAUAUCUAUCUCCAGAAAAUUGUUAAAAUAAAUGUCAAACCUGGUUUUAUUUGUUAUAAACUGUUCUCUCUUUUUCAUCUCUCCCUUUGAUGUAAAAGGGUUUCACAUCUUAGUUUGUUUAGGCAACUUUCAACACCCCUCUUGAAUUAACAUAUAUGGAAAAGAUGUUGACAAAACUAGUAACAAGAACUGUGCUGCCUUAUGUUUUAUAUUUUGAUGCAACCAUACUCAUGAUUUAUUGACCUGCUUUACAUUGUUGGCUGUUCCAGCCUUUUGCCUGUAUUUGUUCCUGUUUUAACAUUUAUUUUUAUUCUAAGCAAAACAGUUUUCCUACACAGGAUCAUAUUAAUGACUGGAGGAAAAUAGCAUUUUGUUUAACAUCCAUUUUCUUUCUUGCUGCUAUAAUAUGGUUCAUAGAACACGUACUGAAGAAAUUGCUGAAUGUUGCCCAUGGGUUUCAAAUGCUAAUAGACCCUAAAGGAGUGCUGAAAUGGUGAUCAUAUGCUACCUUGAGGGCUCAAGAAUAUUUUGAUGCAUAAAGACACUAAUCUAUGUUAGAACUUUUAUGUUUUGGUUGAACUUAUGCAAGACAUAUAACUUGUAAAACUAAUCAAUAUACUCACUAAUGUUAUUUUGUUUGAAAACAAUUUUAGC